AAUUAAGUUGCGUGCAUUGAGAGUAUUCAAUUUGUUAAAGUAUCAAAAAUACGUAAUCAAUUUUUAAGCUUAUAUUUUAAAACAUAAAUUAGGUAGUCGUAGGUGAUGUGAAAUGCAGCUGUCGCUUACUUAUACACCAUAGACGAAUGAUUGGUAGACUUAUGCACAUAAUAGAAGUAAGUCUAUGCAUACAUUCUGUUAUGUUACAUUUUACUCCAUGUUUCUUUUUAUUGAGGACCGUCUCUGAUAGAAAUGUCGCCUAACCUAAUUGAACAAGAAGAUGAAUAAAGGCCAGGAUCAAAAAGUGGGAAGAAUUAGCUAGAAGUUCUUUAUAAGGGAAUGAAGGAAAUAUUGUUGGUGUCAAUGCUGGGACUCGAACCUCCGUACUGUCGGUCACGAGAUUGACAGACCUCUCAGCUAUAAUAUGUACCCAUUUGCCAGGAAUUAAGUGACUUCUUCAGAUUAAAAUACAGGAAAACUAGAAAAAAAGUACAUAUUACAGAGACUGAACUAUGUCUGAGAUUCUCGAAUUCUAAAACUAGAAAGAAGAAACUGAAAGUUAAUAUUUAUAUAAGUUAUAAUUAACUGAAUUUUAAUUUAAUGAAUAACAUGAAUUUUGAAGUGUUGAAAGUCACUUUUAAGAGCCAUUAAAAAUAAUAUGGUCUUUUACUAAAACAACUUUGUGUUUAUGGAUGUUCUCUGUUUUAUUAUUUAUUUAUUUUUAGAGCGGAAGUUGUAACAAUUAUUAUCCAAAUAUGCUAGUUAUUUCGUCAUUCCAACUGAAUUAGUUUGCAUCUCAGAGCAGUGAUUUAGAUAAUAUAUUUAAUAAAUAUUUAUAAAUAGAUAUUACUUUUAAAAUAAUUGAAUUUUAAUUUAAUG